rnacentral:lncRNA from 1 species
GGGUUUUGCUAAGUGUAAGAGUUAAAGUUGGGGGACACUGAGGCAGUAUAAAUUAGUUUCUCUCUGCAAGGAGUAUUAUAUUUUUAGAGGUUUAUUAAAGGAUUAAAGAAAAUACAGAAUAAGAGAACACGUGUCUAGGCCUCUGGCCUAGACAACCUCACCUACAUUAUGAAAAGAGUCUGCGUGUAAGCUGAAACAGGAAAGAAAAGAGAGGCCCAGAAGCCUUUCCAAUCAGGUUAAAUACCCCAUCUUGAUCUCGGCCCAGGUGAGAAUUCCGUGAUAUUACAAAGCAUUCUGGGGAAGUGGAGCAAGGACUUCUGGGGAUUGAAGUCCUGGACUCAAGUCUCCAUUUUUACAUAAGUUAGUGACAGGAGUAUGAAUCCUGUCAGACUGUCAGACUGCCUUGGGUGGAACCUUGUGCUAAGGUCUUGCUUAGGAAUUCUGAGACACCCAAGGAAUUGGAAGUUCUGUUAAGCCCAACUGUCUCUCUCUGCUGGUGUUCCCUGCCCAGAGAGAAGGCUAAAGCUUUGGCUCCUGGGAAUUCCUUGAACUGGCCUGACAGUUUUGGAAAGAAGAGAAAGUUGGAAGUUUUGGGAAGAGCUGUGAAAGGAACAAAUAGAGCAACCUGGUUCUAUGGCAUCUGCAGAGUGCUACACCAACAGACAAAACAAGAGGUAAUUUGAGAUCACACCUACUAGAUUGCCAGAGGGAUCUGAUAUGUGUGCUUGAGAGCAUCUGAGAGGUAUUGCUAUAUUUUGUAAAUCUUAUGCAUAUAUUAAUAAGGGUUAGUGUAUAUUGAGUCUCACCCAUGGGUUAGCUACGUGUGGCUUAAGAAAAAAUCUUAGUUGAAAGGAAUAUCAGAAGAAGCAACAAGACUAAGCUCCAAAAAAAUUGUGCCCUUCUUAACAAAAUGUGAUUUGGAUGAACAAAGAAAAAGAUAUAAUAGUGGAAGAGUCAGAUAUUGUUUAAAGUCCCCACUUUUCCUCCCAUACAGAAGUUAGACUUAAACUAUUGAUGGCUCACACAAGUGCAGAUAACAGCUUAUUCAGAACAGAAGCUCCUUGAAGGUAAACAUUCUUGUGGUUGUCAUUUUUGAAAUCCUGCCAUUUAUCACAUUGGCACUUGUGGGCACUUAAUAAUUGCUUGUUGAAUUAAAAACAUCUUUCUGCCUUUUCCUCCAAAUGGUAAUCAUUUACACAAUAAAAAAACCAAUUGCUUAAUUUGAAAGCUAUAA